GAUGAACGCUGGCGGCGUGCCUAAUACAUGCAAGUCGAGCGAGCAGAUAAGGAGCUUGCUCCUUUGACGUUAGCGGCGGACGGGUGAGUAACACGUGGAUAACCUACCUAUAAGACUGGGAUAACUUCGGGAAACCGGAGCUAAUACCGGAUAACAUAUUGAACCGCAUGGUUCAAUAGUGAAAGGCGGCUUUGCUGUCACUUAUAGAUGGAUCCGCGCCGUAUUAGCUAGUUGGUAAGGUAACGGCUUACCAAGGCAACGAUACGUAGCCGACUUGAGAGGGUGAUCGGCCACACUGGAACUGAGACACGGUCCAGACUCCUACGGGAGGCAGCAGUAGGGAAUCUUCCGCAAUGGGCGAAAGCCUGACGGAGCAACGCCGCGUGAGUGAUGAAGGUCUUCGGAUCGUAAAACUCUGUUAUCAGGGAAGAACAAAUGUGUAAGUAACUGUGCACAUCUUGACGGUACCUGAUCAGAAAGCCACGGCUAACUACGUG
rnacentral:rRNA from 1 species